UACGAAGGGGGCUAGCGUUGUUCGGAUUUACUGGGCGUAAAGCGCACGUAGGCGGAUCUUUAAGUCAGAGGUGAAAUUCCAAGGCUCAACCUUGGAACUGCCUUUGAUACUGGGGAUCUUGAGUCCGGGAGAGGUGAGUGGAACUGCGAGUGUAGAGGUGAAAUUCGUAGAUAUUCGCAAGAACACCAGUGGCGAAGGCGGCUCACUGGCCCGGUACUGACGCUGAGGUGCGAAAGCGUGGGGAGCAAACAGG
rnacentral:rRNA from 1 species